CGGAAGAUGUAACGGGGCUAAGCUAUACACCGAAGCUGCGGCUACGUACUUAUGUGCGUGGGGUAGGGGAGCGUUCUGUAAGCCGUUGAAGGUGGUCUGUAAGGGCUGCUGGAGGUAUCAGAAGUGCGAAUGCUGACAUGAGUAACGAUAAAGGGAGUGAAAAACUCCCUCGCCGGAAGACCAAGGGUUCCUGUCCAACGUUAAUCGGGGCAGGGUAAGUCGACCCCUAAGGCGAGGCCGAAAGGCGUAGUCGAUGGGAAACGGGUUAAUAUUCCCGUACUUCUUACAAUUGCGAUGGGGGGACGGAGAAGGCUAGGUGGGCCUGGCGACGGUUGUCCAGGUUCAAGUACGUAGGCGGAAGAAUUAGGUAAAUCCGGUUCUUCUUAACGCUGAGAUACGAUGUCGAGCUACUACGGUAGUGAAGUCAUUGAUGCCAUGCUUCCAGGAAAAGCCUCUAAGCUUCAGAUUGUAAGGAAUCGUACCCCAAACCGACACAGGUGGUCGGGUAGAGAAUACCAAGGCGCUUGAGAGAACUCGGGUGAAGGAACUAGGCAAAAUGGUACCGUAACUUCGGGAGAAGGUACGCUCUUAUCAGUGAAGUCCCUUGCGGAUGGAGCAGACGAGAGUCGCAGAUACCAGGUGGCUGCAACUGUUUAUUAAAAACACAGCACUGUGCAAAAUCGUAAGAUGACGUAUACGGUGUGACGCCUGCCCGGUGCCGGAAGGUUAAUUGAUGGGGUUAGACUUCGGUCGAAGCUCUUGAUCGAAGCCCCGGUAAACGGCGGCCGUAACUAUAACGGUCCUAAGGUAGCGAAAUUCCUUGUCGGGUAAGUUCCGACCUGCACGAAUGGCGUAAUGAUGGCCACGCUGUCUCCACCCGAGACUCAGUGAAAUUGAAAUCGCUGUGAAGAUGCAGUGUACCCGCGGCUAGACGGAAAGACCCCGUGAACCUUUACUACAGCUUGGCACUGAACAUUGAACCUACAUGUGUAGGAUAGGUGGGAGACUUUGAAACCGCGUCGCUAGAUGUGGUGGAGUCGUCCUUGAAAUACCACCCUUGUAGUUUUGAUGUUCUAACGUUGGUCCCUGAAUCGGGAUUACGGACAGUGCCUGGUGGGUAGUUUGACUGGGGCGGUCUCCUCCCAAAGAGUAACGGAGGAGCACGAAGGUGGGCUAAACACGGUUGGACAUCGUGUGGUUAGUGCAAUGGCAUAAGCCCGCUUGACUGCGAGAAUGACAAUUCGAGCAGGUGCGAAAGCAGGUCAUAGUGAUCCGGUGGUUCUGAAUGGAAGGGCCAUCGCUCAACGGAUAAAAGGUACUCCGGGGAUAACAGGCUGAUACCGCCCAAGAGUUCAUAUCGACGGCGGUGUUUGGCACCUCGAUGUCGGCUCAUCACAUCCUGGGGCUGAAGUCGGUCCCAAGGGUAUGGCUGUUCGCCAUUUAAAGUGGUACGCGAGCUGGGUUUAGAACGUCGUGAGACAGUUCGGUCCCUAUCUGCCGUGGGCGUUGGAAAAUUGAAGGGGGCUGCUCCUAGUACGAGAGGACCGGAGUGGACGAACCUCUGGUGUUCGGGUUGUCAUGCCAAUGGCAUUGCCCGGUAGCUAAGUUCGGAAUCGAUAACCGCUGAAAGCAUCUAAGCGGGAAGCGAGCCCUGAGAUGAGUUUUCCCUGACGCUUUAAGCGUCCUAAAGGGUUGUUCAAGACUAGAACGUUGAUAGGCAGGGUGUGUAAG
rnacentral:rRNA from 1 species